rnacentral:rRNA from 1 species
UAGUCCACGCCGUAAACGAUGAUUACUAGUUGUUGGCGAUAGACAGUCAGUGACCAAGGGAAACCGAUAAGUAAUCCACCUGGGGAGUACGCCGGCAACGGUGAAACUCAAAGGAAUUGACGGGGGUCCGCACAAGCAGUGGAGCAUGUGGUUUAAUUCGAUGAUACGCGAGGAACCUUACCUAGGCUCUAAUGUGAGCGAAUUAUACAGAGAUGUAUAAGUCAGCAAUGACGCGAAACAAGGUGCUGCAUGGCCGUCGUCAGUUCGUGCCGUGAGGUGUUGGGUUAAGUCCCGCAACGAACGCAACCCCUAUUAACUGUUGCCAGCAUAUAAUGAUGGGGACUCUAAGAAACUGCCAGCGUAAGCUGUGAGGAAGGUGGGGAUGAUGUCAAGUCAUCACGGCCCUUACGUCUAGGGCUACACACGUGCUACAAUGGUAGAUACAGAGGGAAGCUACUUAGUGAUAAGAUGCGAAUCUCUAAAGUUUAUCUCAGUUCGG